UACGAAGGGGGCUAGCGUUGUUCGGAAUUACUGGGCGUAAAGCGUACGUAGGCGGAUUGUUAAGUGAGGGGUGAAAUCCCGAGGCUCAACCUCGGAACUGCCUUUCAUACUGGCAAUCUUGAGUCCGGGAGAGGUGAGUGGAACUCCUAGUGUAGAGGUGAAAUGCGUAGAUAUCUGGAGGAACACCGGUGGCGAAGGCGGCAUCCUGGACCGGUAUUGACGCUGAGGCGCGAAAGCCAGGGGAGCAAACGGG
rnacentral:rRNA from 1 species